AGCACAGCUGAUGCACGCGGGAAGUAAAUGAUAUGCUGCCAAACCCCGCUAGAUCAACACUAGCGCGCUGGAAACGGGCCAAAAGUCGGACGCAAAGCUCCCGAGUUCGUGUUGCUUCAUGUUACUUAAAUAUAAAGAAAAUCUCACCAAGUAGAGAGGCAUGAAAAAUGUGAUAUACUAGUAGUGCAAAUGACAAGUAUUUUGUUUCGUAGACUAUUUGUCAUCCUCGAUGAAGCUAUUGUUCGCCUUUUAGAGCUUAUUUUGACUUGUUAAACUGGUUUCGUAGUUUUAGUAUUUUUGCUGUACUCAGGACCUGUUUGUAAUUCUGUACUAGUAGCAUAGACUGUUGUUUUUACGUUGACUUUUGUUGUUUCAUGCUAUAAUGUUGAUACUGAUAGCUUUCUAUUGUUUGUUUAACUCCCCACGCCAUCCAUUUUGCCUGCAACCUUUUGUCAAUUUGUGUACAUUUUUUUUGCAUUGUUUAGUCUUAGCGUGGUUCGAGUAGGGUGGUGCCCGAUUUUCAUCUCUAAAGCUUCAGAAAUUUCCUUCCUUUCCGUCUUUUCUUUCCUUAACCUUGUAGUUUCUCCCUCCUUGCACUAUCAGCUCGCGAUAUGCCAAUAUGUAAAUUAGUUCAAGUAUAGACAAACAUGUCGUCAACCCUUUUACUUUUGACCAUGGAGGUAAAUGUUUUGACAAAUUAAAUGUUAAGCUGGUAUCGUUCUUGAUAUAUUCU